UAGAAGGAGGCGAGCAUGGUUACCGGUUCACGGUGUUAGGACUCCUUUACAAGGAGCCAGGCGACGACAAUAAAACGCCAGCGGCUGUCCACCUUCGAUCAUUCAAGGACAAAGCUUACAUGAACGGUACAAUGGCGGCAUCAUCAGACAGGAUCAUGCUGGGUCCGCUCGUCGCAGCCAUUGAUCAAGGCACAAGCUCCACAAGGUUCUUGGUUUUUAAUGCCAAAACAGCUGAACUACUGAGUCACCACCAGGUGGAGAUCAAGCAAAAUUUUCCCAAGGAAGGGUGGGUGGAGGAGGACCCCAAGGAGAUCCUGCAGUCUGUCUAUGAAUGUAUGGAAAGAACAUGUGAGAAAUUGACCCAGCUCAACAUUGACAUCUCCAAUAUAAAAGCAAUUGGAGUUACCAAUCAGAGAGAGACUACACUGGUUUGGGACAAGGAGACUGGAGAACCUCUCUACAAUGCUAUUGUGUGGCUGGACCUCCGCACCCAGUCCACGGUGGAGCGGCUGAUCAAUAAGACUCCUGGAAGGAACAAGAACCACCUGAAGCACAAGACUGGACUCCCCAUCAGCACCUACUUCAGUGCGGUGAAAUUGCGCUGGCUCAUGGACAACGUCACAGAGGUCCACGAGGCGGUUCUGUCCCAUCGUGCCAUGUUUGGCACAGUCGACUCCUGGCUCAUAUGGUGUCUGACAGGAGGUAAGACCGGGGGUGUUCACUGCACAGAUGUGACCAAUGCCAGCCGUACCAUGCUCUUCAACAUUCACACCAUGGACUGGGACCCUGAGCUCUGCAAAUAUUUUGAUAUUCCAAUGGAGAUCCUGCCAAAAGUGAGAAGUUCAUCAGAAAUAUAUGGUUUAAUGAAAAUAUGUUCUAGUCUGAAAUCUGGAGCCCUUACUGGCGUUCCCAUAUCAGGGUGUUUGGGAGACCAGUCUGCAGCCCUUGUUGGGCAGAUGUGCUUCCAGGACGGGCAAGCCAAAAACACGUAUGGAACCGGUUGCUUCUUGCUCAGAAACACUGGAGCAAAGCCAGUGAUGUCGGAUCAUGGCCUUUUGACAACAGUGGCCUACAAGUUAGGCCGGGACAAGCCAGCCUGCUAUGCAUUAGAGGGAUCAGUGGCCAUAGCUGGGGCAGUGGUCCGGUGGUUGAAGGAUAAUCUAGGAAUUGUCCAGUCCUCCACUGAAAUUGAGAAACUGGCUGCUGCAGUGGGCACGUCCUAUGGCUGCUAUUUUGUACCAGCUUUUUCUGGCUUGUAUGCCCCUUACUGGGAGCCUAGUGCUAGAGGAAUCAUUUGUGGUCUGACACAGUUCACCAACAGGAGUCACCUGGCCUUCGCUGCCCUGGAGGCAGUAUGCUUUCAGACUCGAGAGAUCCUGGAUGCUAUGAACCAGGACAGUGGCAUCCCCCUCAACCAGCUGCAGGUGGAUGGAGGAAUGACCUCAAACAAGCUACUGAUGCAGCUGCAGGCUGAUAUACUCUGCAUCCCUGUGGUGAAACCGUCCAUGCCAGAGACCACGGCUCUGGGCGCGGCCAUGGCGGCAGGGGCAGCCGAGGGGGUCAGCGUGUGGAGUCUGAAGCCUGAGGAUCUGACCGCAGUCACCUCUGAGAAGUUUGAGCCACAGAUCAACCCUGAGGAAAGCGAAUACCGGUAUGCACGUUGGAAAAAAGCCGUGCAGAAAGCAAUGAACUGGGAGACCACGGAGCCCAUCCCCAACGGCAACGCUGCCAACUGGAAACUGGCCCCAGGUCUGAUCCACCUUCUGCUCCACACCAAAGCUGACCCAUAAGGUCAUGCAUUUGUGUGUUUGUGUGUGUGUGUGUGUGUGAGGUCCUGUUUUUAAGUUCCCCUGCAUGCAUAGCUCACUUCUAGUUUUACUAUUGCACACACUAACCAGUCAUUUGGCAUUAACAGUAUUUGUUUUACAUCUGUCUUAAUUGAAUGGCAUAAUAUAGCGCAGCUUAAUGGCAUAGCUCAUAACCAUUAUUGCAUAUCUCCCUGGCAGGCAUCUCUCAAGGUGCAGUUCUUUUCCAUAGAUUUGGAAAAUGAAAUGAAUCUUACGAAAUGGAGAGCACAUAAGAUCGGAGCGCCACAGGAGAAAUGUCACUUCAGACUCUGACUGGGCAAGGUUUUUUGUAGUUGUAUAUCAGGGGUUGGUUCGAAAUCUUGGUCCUGCAUCCCCUAGGUGCCCUAAGGAACUUCUACCAAUCAGGAAGGAGAAAUUCCCAGGGUGCAUUUUACCUGCUGAAGCUGAACUCAUCCUCCUGUCACUUGUCACAUGACAACAGCUGUUGUGUUUUCAGACCUGUUCCAAUAUUGUAUUUAUUUGUCCCCACUGUCUUUUUCUCUCCUCUGUCUUGCGUGAAUCGGACCCGUGUUCUGGACGCCCUGCAGGACGGCACAUUUAGCUUCUAGCCUGUGACGCAGGGCUGUGGAGUGAGGGAAUCCUGUGUGCCCGUCCCCUGCAUGCUAAGCUUCUCCGGGGUGCGUUGCACUGCCGCAAGAGCAUUCCGAGUGCACAGACUAUCGCCUGUGCUCCCCAGCGUCACCCAGUGGACCCAAAACCUCUGCGGUUUGCUACUUGAGUGUUGAAAGACCAUGUGUUGACCUGGCCUCUGACUGAACCAAUAGAAUUGAAGCCAAUAAAAUGCGAGCCAAUCAGACUGAUGUGACCAAGGCUGGUGUGCAAAGGGAGAGUCUGAAUUCCUGGAUGUUUAGCAAGAUGUGUAAGAGAUGUGUUGUAUGAAUAAUUUCCUUGGAGUUUAAUUUUUGUUUUUAUUUAUGGUUUUGUUGAACAGUAUAUUCUGUUUUGAAUUUGUCCUGUCAGUAGUAGUGUCAAUUUUUAAUCUUCCUUUUAAUGCUACUGUAUGUUCACUUAGGGCCAUUUGUCAGGUUGUGUGUGCCAGAGAUUGUUUUAGCUGAGUGGGUUCAGUCUUUUGUACAGGCCCUGCUGAACAGUAACUGAAUGAGGAGAUGCACUUCAGAAUGAAAGUAAUGGCAGGCCUUUGCAGCACUUUAUGAUUGAUUACCUGAAUUUGGAUAUUUAGCAUUGCACAGGAGCUUAAUGGUACAGUUUGGUUAUAUUCCUCUGUGUGUGUGUGUGUGCAUUGAAGUUUAUUUUAGAAAUGUGAAUAAUGGGGAAAGUACUGCACUCAAACACUGUAAUCCUUGAAAUGGUUGCGUGUCCUUCCCUAAGAGGACUUUGUACAAACACAACUGAACAAAUGUACAUUUUAAAUCUAGUUUUAAUUAUUUCACUUGUUUUAUUUGCUUCUGUGACAGUGCUUGAAUUUGGUCUUUGGUGUUACUGUUCUUUGAAAGAUGAACCAAAUAGGAAAUGAGGGCAGUUUUUUUUUUUUUGACACUAACAAUCGUCCAAGUGCACUACACAAGUGUUUGUGAAAUGUGUUCAGAUGUGUCCCAUGUAAAGUGGUGCAUGUUCACAUGUAUGUUUUUAUACCUCAAUGAAAAUGUCUUCCCUGCUUCCCCAUGAGUUUUUAUUGCAGCAUAACCAGUUUUUUUUCUGUGUAUGGAGCCAUUCAGACAAUUGGUAAUAUUUAUUCUUUCAGUGAAAACUAACUCCUGUUUAAAAAGGUUUUCUGUGAACAAGAGCAAACUAAAACUCUCUGAAGGCAUAAUGAUGUUACAAAUCUUCCAUUUCUGUAAAUCAUCACCUUUAUUUAACAAUGUCCAGUAUCAAUUUCUCAUAGACAG